UACGGGGGGGGCAAGCGUUGUCCGGAAUCAUUGGGCGUAAAGAGCGCGUAGGCGGCCCUGUAAGUCCGCUGUGAAAGUCAAGGGCUCAACCCUUGGAUGCCGGUGGAUACUGCAGGGCUAGAGUCCGGAAGAGGCGAGUGGAAUUCCUGGUGUAGCGGUGAAAUGCGUAGAGAUCGGGAGGAACACCAGAGGCGAAGGCGGCGACCUGGAACAGUAUUGACACUCAACUACGAAAGCGUGGGUAGCAAACAGG
rnacentral:rRNA from 1 species